GGGCCAUUGGCGCAGCUGGUAGCGCGUCCCCAUGGCAUGGGGAAGGUCGUCGGUUCGAGUCCGACAUGGUCCA
rnacentral:tRNA from 1 species